AGUUUCAGGUGAUUCAACAUUUAUACAUUGUGAAGGGAUUGCCACAAUAAGUUCUGGUCAUCUACCACCAUAUGAAGGUUUAGCUGUCAUAUUGGAGGCUGCCAGUAGGUGGCAAUGUAAUUUAUGAAGACAUUAGAAGAAAGAAAGCUGUGUGAAGGAAAACGUCUCUUAAAAAAAAAUGCAAUUUAUUAUUGAUCACGGAACCAAGGCCAAACUAGGAAAAAGAACACAGGUAACACUCUAAAUACCAAGAUAUCAGAUUUUACACAGCUCCAUCUAAGUUUUCAGUGUUCAGUUGUGGGCCCUGGGCAUACCGAGAAGCUGAGCGAUCACAGACAAAAUGAAAAGGAUUAGAGAGAUCCAGUUCUUGCCUGGAGGAAUACACACCUGGCAAGUGGCAGAACCAGGGUGAAUGAUAGCAGAAAUGGUG